UCCCGCUUAUCACGGGCAGUUCCCCUAAAGUGCCCACCAUCACGUGCUGGCAACUAAAGAUGAGGGUUGCGCUCGUUGCGGGACUUAACCCAACAUCUCACGACACGAGCUGACGACAGCCAUGCAGCACCUGUGUGGCACCCUCGAAGGUCACACGUUUCCGUGCGCUUGCAGCCACAUGUCAAGUCCAGGUAAGGUUCUUCGCGUUGCAUCGAAUUAAAGAACAUGCUCCGCUGCUUGUGCGGGCCCCCGUCAAUUCUUUUGAGUUUUAGCCUUGCGGCCGUACUCCCCAGGCGGAACACUUAACGCGUUGGCUGCGGCACAGAGGGAUUCGACUCCCCCCACACCUAGUGUUCAUCGUUUACGGCUAGGACUAC
rnacentral:misc_RNA from 1 species